UCUUCGGCUGAAGUAUCAUUGAACCUACCCUUUGAGGAGAGUUUGCCACCUUUUCAUGCCGUAACCUAUGACUGUUUGGACCAGAGUCAUAUUCCAACAUUAACGUUCAGUGAUAUUUACAGUUUUAUCAUUGAAAGACCUACUUCACAUGGUAUUGCUGUGAAAAAUUUCAAGGGCUUAAACAAAUCCAUUAAACACUUCGAAGCUGGUGACGUCCAAGAUAUUAGAGUGUCAGAGGUAGAAUUUUUAAUUACAUUUUGUAUUUUGUAAAAAACACACAUUAUAAUUAUUUUUUAAAAAAUGAUAAGAUAAAAGCAUGAUCAGAUUAAUGCAUGUAAAAAAAAAUCUGAUAUCAGAGACAUACAUGUUUCUGCUGAUAUUAUAUUGUUUUAAUUGUUCAUAAUAAAUAAUAUUUUUUACAUUUUUAUUUAGGUCAAUUCGUCUAUAAUAUAUGUGAGGGCAACAUGCCAGGCUUCUAUAAAGAAGCAGCAAUAUCAAGUGUAUACCUGCAUGUCAAAACCAAACACUAGUACACCACAUAUACGGCAUGCAUAUUGCCAGUGUCCUAUUGGGUAAUAGUUUAUAAAUAUACUUAUAUAUAUGAAUUGAUAAACAUUUUCAACAAGUUUUUUUAUAAUCUUAUGAAAAUCCACAUCCCAGUGAAAUUUUAAUCAUGCAUUGCUAUUGCUAUUGUUUAAAUUACAAUUUCAUUUUUUUCAAUGGAUCAACACAAGAACUUAGUUUUCAACUGCACUAUUCUAUCCUUUUGAUUCGUAGGUUAGCACAGGCAUGUAGUCACAUAGGUGCCUUACUCCUUGCAUUAAGUCAUGCAAAACCCAGCAAGUCCUCUCCAGAAAGCUGUACAUUUCAGCCAUGUAAAUGGAUAAUUCCUGGGCGCCAGGUGAAGCCUACUGGACCAAUUACUUCUUUGCCUAAUAAGUGAAUGUCGCACUUGUGGAAUAUACCUGACCAUGCUCCAGAGGCUGUCCAAGAGAUGGAGGUGCAGGAUGUGGAAGAUAUUAUGUUCGCAAGGAUGAGAAGUCUCAUAUUUUGUGAGGGGAAUGAGCCCCAACUGUCGAUAACCCAGGGCUUAGUUGAGUUUAUUGAGAGCUGCACAAGAGACAAGAGAACAUCAGAGAUGUGGCAGAGACUCCAUAUUGGUCGUCUCACCAGUUCUCUUUUUGGUGAUGUCUUGAAAGCUGGAUCCAAUCCGAAAUCUUUGAUAAAGCAAAUUAUUGAGGGUUCCAGUCUUAAUAAGUAAGCUGAACAAAUUAUGACUAAUUCUUAUCUUAUUCCAUAGAAACUAUCAUAUAUAGGAUUUUUUAUUUCUUAAAUGGAAGAAAAUACAUCCACUGUAUAUAUAUAUAUCUGCUUUCAACCUUCGUUCAUUCAUUCAUUCAUAC